AAACAAUGCAAAAAGACCGAAAAUAUUUCGAUUUAUUGGAGGUGAAGGUAAUGGAUGCAUCACCCCCAAUUGAGUCCUUAGCUUAUCUACAAUAGGGUCUUCUUGAAAACUAGCAAAAUUGUUACUAGAACGACUAGAAGCUUCUAAUUCCUCAGAGACUCUUCCAUAAGCAUCCAAUUCAUCAGCAAAUCUCUUAAUUACAAUAUUUCUAGCUCCUCUUCUA
rnacentral:misc_RNA from 1 species